GACGAACGCUGGCGGCGUGCUUAACACAUGCAAGUCGAACGGAAAGGCCCUGCUUUUGUGGGGUGCUCGAGUGGCGAACGGGUGAGUAACACGUGAGUAACCUGCCCUUGACUUUGGGAUAACUUCAGGAAACUGGGGCUAAUACCGGAUAGGAGCUCCUGCUGCUUGGUGGGGGUUGGAAAGUUUCGGCGGUUGGGGAUGGACUCGCGGCUUAUCAGCUUGUUGGUGGGGUAGUGGCUUACCAAGGCUUUGACGGGUAGCCGGCCUGAGCGGGUGACCGGCCACAUUGGGACUGAGAUACGGCCCAGACUCCUACGGGAGGCAGAAGUGGGGAAUAUUGCACAAUGGGCGGAAGCCUGAUGCAGCAAAGCCGCGUGCGGGAUGACGGCCUUCGGGUUGUAAUCCGCUUUCGCCUGUGACGAAGCGUGAGUGACGGUAAUGGGUAAAGAAGCACCGGCUAACUACGUG
rnacentral:rRNA from 1 species